rnacentral:rRNA from 1 species
GCCUUUAGUUGCCAGCAGUUCGGCUGGGCACUCUAAAGGGACUGCCGGUGUUAAACCGGAGGAAGGUGGGGAUGACGUCAAGUCCUCAUGGCCUUUAUGACCAGGGCUACACACGUACUACAAUGGCCGAUACAAGGGGCAGCGACACUGCGAGGUGAAGCCAAUCCCGUAAAAUCGGUCUCAGUCCGGAUUGGAGUCUGCAACUCGACUCCAUGAAGUUGGAAUCGCUAGUAAUCGUGGAUCAGCAUGCCACGGUGAAUACGUUCCCGGGCCUU